rnacentral:rRNA from 1 species
CAGCCGCCGCGGUAAUACGGAGGGUGCAAGCGUUAAUCGGAAUUACUGGGCGUAAAGCGCACGCAGGCGGUCUGUCAAGUCAGAUGUGAAAUCCCCGGGCUUAACCUGGGAACUGCAUUUGAAACUGGCAGGCUAGAGUCUUGUAGAGGGGGGUAGAAUUCCAGGUGUAGCGGUGAAAUGCGUAGAGAUCUGGAGGAAUACCGGUGGCGAAGGCGGCCCCCUGGACAAAGACUGACGCUCAGGUGCGAAAGCGUGGGGAGCAAACAGGAUUAGAUACCCCCGUAGUCUCUGUCUCUUAUAC